CCGCUGCUUUGGCCGUGGAGGCGCGGCUGCUGCUGCUGCUGCUGCUUCCUCCUUCCUGCUUGGAGCCGUGGCUCAGAGGCCUCCGCAGAUGCAGGGACUCGCAGAGGCGAGCCCUGGAGGUCUUGAACUGGUGGGGUGUGGAAGAGAUGGUUUUGCUGUAUUAUCAAGAAGUUCUGGGCAAAGAAAGGACCUGAAGAGAGACCAGCCAAGGAAAAGUUCUUGUACCCAUAGGCCAAAGCCAGUCAGGAAUUUUAUUUGAUGGGGAGGUAGCAACAGGGUCUCUCUAAUCAGACCUGUUAGCACUCACCAAAUUAACUAUUCUAAGGAUUUUUGGAGGGGAAGCCAUGUCCUUUGAGGCCUAGUCAAGAGGACAGAAUGAAGCAGAUCCACCCACAAGCAAAAAAGAAACUGAAACCUUUUUCCUUCUCUUGAGACAAUGGCAGUGCCCCCUAGAGGCAGAAAUGCAUCUUGCUCUUGCAUUUGAGAGUUGUAGUCUCAGUUUGCAACCUAGGACUUGCUUAUCUCGGUGCGCAGAAAUUGUAAUCUGAUACUGUACAUAGUUUUUAGAAAUUGUUUAGAGAAGUAAAUAUCUGAACACCUUGUCUUAAACUUUUUAUUCAUCAUGCUAAAAUAAACCAUUCCAUAAUCAA